AAGGGAAUGUUGGGAGUUUCAAUCUCAACACAUCUGGAUAGGAAGAAAUGAGAGACAGCUGAAGUUGACAACAUAUUGUACUUAAAAGGCUUAGUUAUUCUCCUAGUAAUUAGUUUCAUGUAUUUAGGGUAUUAACAUAAUUAAUGUACUCAAAUUUUCCAAGCACUUUAAUUAGAAAAUGAACAGGGAUAAAUUAGAAAAAAGUGUGUUAUACAAUUCCUGGGCACAUACGUAAGACAGUUUACAAUCUAAUCCCAAAAAGUAAAAACAUGCUUGAAUCCAUUUAAUUGCAGCCGGCUAAUCCCAUAGUCCAACACCCUUUAAGUGCAAAGGAUUACUGUAUUGGUUUUAAUACAGUAGAUGUAGUUUUGCACAUAUGUAAAUCCAUUUUCCAGUCAACAUCAGAAAAUACAGCUGAUUACAUGCUGUUUUCAUUAUUUAAAUGAAUGCCUUUAAUAUAAAUGAAUUCUCUCUCUGGAAAUGAAUAUGUGGCCAGUGUAUUACUGGAAUAUUUCAACUGAUACUAAUUUGCUUUUAAGAAUAUCUCUAGUUUUCAUACAUGUUGUGAAUGCUCAUUUAUGGGUUGUUUUUUGUAUCAUUUUAAUGUAAGCUUAUAGUUUCAUCUUCCCACUCCCUUUGGUUUUAUGUUAUAUAAGUUACUUUCU